UUUUCCAAAAUAUACGUUUACAUUUAAAACCACACAUUUAUUAAUAUUAUACAAUGAGAACGUCAAAGUUUUCAAGAGUAAUUAUUGGAUUACAAACCAAAUCUUAAAAGUAGAUUAAAAAUUACAACCCAUAAUGUUUCAUAAUUUAAAAUACAUUUUUAAAAGUCCCAAAGAGUGAUUCCCCAACGCAUCCUCGCACUAAACGUCUUCAGUUUUACCUGAAACAUCAUCUACUCCCAUAUAACGAUACAAGUUAUACGAUCAUCGUAGACACACAAGUAUGGUGAGCUAACCAAAGACAGAAAAAAUAUAAGUUACAGAUAAAUUUAAUUACCUACUUUGAACAUUUAAUAACAUUAUCAGUGUGGUAAUAGGAUCAUAUUUUUAUUUUUUUUACAUGUAACUUCGGAAACUACUCGAUUCUUAUCUCUCACUCACAAUAAUUGAAUUUAUCUCGGUUCUCCUACUACACACACAUAUGAUAAAUAUAUAACAAAACCAGUCCCUCAUAUGGACCGCAGAUAAGAGUCAUCCUAAGUACAUCACUUUUGGACAUAUCUCCCUGGUUCUACAAGGACUUACGAAUAAAAACAUUAGUGAGUAAUAUUCAUUCGCCAAGCACAAUACUCAGCAUAAGUCAUAAACCCUUGGCAAGAUAUUUGUAUCCUCUUGAAAGAAGAAAAAUAACAAGACUCGAAUUCACCUAUCGCCUUACAUAGACAAAAAGAAUUCAUCCUUUUUAACUACCGAGAUAAAUAUAAACUUUUACUGUUAUUUAAAAAAGAUCACAACAUAUAAGAAUUUUCAUAAAGUCGAAAACGCCUCCAUGACAUUGAGAAAACCAAGACAAAAUGUUUCAACUUUUUAGAAAAAUAAGUUGUUAUCAUUAAUAUAAGAAUAUUAAUAAAACUCAACCGUAUUAAAAUUGAAUAAUUUAACAAACUUAUUUCCUCUAAUUAUAAUUUAUUUACGAUAAAAUAAUUUGUAUAUUUGGAAGAUGAAUGACUCAAAUUAAAAUUGUAACCGUUCUAUCAAAAUAGAAGCAGAAUUAUUUACUAUUAUUGCUAUGACUAGAACUUUAGAGUAUUUAUCUACUUCGAAUAGUGUUUCUUAAUCAUUAUCAUGUAUUAUUUGAUUUUUGGAUAGUUCCGGAAGAAUGACCUGCUAUAGUCUUUAUUAUUUCAGAAUCAAUAUUUUAACAAUAUAAUAUUGGAAUAUCUUAUAACAGCAGAAAACAACAAAGAUUUGUUACAAAGUAUGGUGCAAGUAAAUUUUUUUUUAUUAUAAACAAUUGAAACUGUGAGAAAUACUCUGAGAGGCAUCUCAAUUCUUAAUCUUUAUGAACAGCACGGUAUGGUCAAAGCACAAGUUUCCAUAUGAAUUAAAAAUCAAAAAGAAAACUAUACUGCAGUCACUAGUGCAAAAAUGAUGUUUAACGUCAUCCUUUAGACGUCCGUUUCGUGAAAAUCCGACGUCUACUACUGCACGGUGGCAUUAUUGUAAAUAAAUUGGAAAACUAGACGUCAGUUUCGAUGUCAGGCAACGUCUAUGACAUCAUAGACGUCGGACCUGCCACAAAUUGACGUCCAAUUGCUUGAGGUAUGUGAUAAGACAUUCCAUUGACGUCAGUGUUUCAGGGGACCGACGUCUACGAGGUUGUAAUUAAUGCUAAACAUCAAAUCCCAGGAGCUUAGACGUCGGCUAGAAAGGGCACCGACGUCUACGUCAUUGACAGUAAAUCAAACGUCAAUCGGUUCAGCUUUAUACGUCGAAUAGACGUCGGAUCCCGUGAAAAAGCAACGUCGAUUGGGCUACAAUUAAUGCUGCUCACCUAAUACCCCAGGCAAUUAGACGUCACGUAGUCAAAAGUCGACGUCUAAGGCCUGUCUGAAAGGCGGGAAGACAAAAAUUCUUCAAUGUAGACGUCGGUUCUAAGGGUCACCGACGUCUACUUUCCUGUAUUUUCACCAAAUUCGAGGGUUUUAGACGUCGACUGUGAGGGGCACCGAUGUGAACUUCCCUGACAGGAAACCAAAACGUCAAUCUUUUCAGCUUCCUAGACGUCGAUUUCUGGAGCAACCGACGCCCCAUUUCAUUUUAAAUAGACCGCGGACUCUUCUCAACAUUCAGUUUCUGAUCGCGUCUUCAUCUCUUCUCCUUUUUCUCUGCUUCUCCUCUUCUUUUACUCGCUUGCACACCUCUACUUUUUAUCUCCUGCUGCAUUGCAUUGUCGUUUCUCAUAACGUCAUUAUCUUCGUCCUCUCCUUUUUCUCUCUUGCAUCCCAGGUGCAUGGUUUUUUUUUUAUGCUUCCCGUUUAAACUUUCUUUAGUUUUUUAUCGAUUAUCUUGUCGUUGAACUGAUUAAAAUUUGCUUUCUUUGUAUUGUGUUUCAGUGUAGUUUUGAUCCUCUCUUUGGGUAACAUAGUGCAACAUUCUCCCUUUGUUGGUUUCCUCACAAGAAGAGUGGCGAUCUUUUGAGUUUUCUAGUUCUUCCGACCCAAAAUGGAACCUGGGUCCUUGUCUACUUCUCGACACCGUAAUUUUUUUCUGUUGCGGUUGAUUAAUGGGAAGUAGCCAUGGACCCAGAUUCGGUUUUGGGUUGAAAGGACUAGAAGAUUCAAAAGACGCAAGCUUUUUUUGUGAGGAAACUAGCGAGAAGAGAAUGUUACACAAUGCUACCGAAAGCCUGGAUCAAAACUGCACUAAAACACAAAAUUGUAGUUAGACGUCGGUUAAAGCCAUGUCCGACGUCUAUAACAACAUAGACGUCGGUUAGUGUCAUUUUAAACCUCUUUAUAUAUUCAUGUUGACGUCGGUUUAAUCAUAGGUGGACGUCUAUGCAGAGUAAUUAGACGUCGGUAUGAGUUUAAGCAGACGUCUAUAGAGACGUCAGUGGAUAUAGUUAACCGACAUUUAUAUGGACAUUGGUUCUGAGGAAUUCUGACGUCCCAUAGACGUCACCCGUUUAGACGUCGGAUGUUAAAGUGACGUUAAAAGCCCAAACUAACCGACGUUAAACAACGUUUUUGCACUAGUGAGUUCAUGAACUUUCAUCCAGUUUAUAUUUAAAGGCAUAAAGGCAUUAUAAAAUCAAAGUAAAAUAUGAAGACAAUUUGUUAAAGUUUAAGAAAUAUGGCCGUCUGACGCAUGAACAUGGUCUUAAGAGUAACUAAUAUAAAAAAAUAGAUUUUUAAUUUUAUCAUCUAUUAUAAGAAACCGUGAGGUACCUAACUCUCCAUUUUCUCAAUUUAUAUCAAUAAUACGUUUACGUUUAUGAAGCUUUCUCUCAACAUCUAGUUCACAUAUUUCCUAGGCCGUAAUAUGCAUCUCAACAGAUUCAGGAGAUAAGACAGCAACAACACUAAAAGAUCGGAGCACACAUUUCAGAUUUAUAUUACAAGGUAUUUAUACCAUCCAGAGAAAGAAAAGGUUAACUCCCCUACCUCAAAUAUGGUAAGAUUUGUUAAUUCUUAUUGCUCUAAGGUCCACUCUUACUGUUCUUGAAGGAUCUAUACCUCUCCUAGACGUUCACAAAGAUUAUCCUCACUUCUUCUUCUCUAACUUUCUGAUUGUUUAUGUUGAUUUCAUUAAGCUAUAAGGCUGUCAAUUUAUACUUGUUUUUAGCAACCUAAUGGUUUGGACGGUUCUAAUCAAAGAGGAACUAAGCUCUAUAAUUUUCAUUCCUUGUUUUCGCAAUUACUUUCAAAUUUUGUGCAUGUUUUGUUGUAUAAUUUCAGCGGAUAAGUUUUGUUGUAUGAAGCCAAAUUAUCACAUACGUUAGGGUGGAAAAGAAAGAUAAUGUGUUGGAAAAAAGAGAAAAGUAUGUUUCAUAGAUGAUAAGAAUGGAAAAACUACGGUAUUCUCAACCACAAAAUAUGAAUUAUUGGCAUGACAAGAAUAUCUUUCCUAAUCCAAUGAUAUCAAUCCAAUAAUAAUUAUAAUAGAGAUUUUUAAUUUUAAUUCCCAAGUUUAAUAUGUACUUUCUUGGUUAAAUUUAAAAUAAGUAACCCAUUCAAACCAAUAAUCUAACUCAUUUAUAUUUGAAUAAAAGAAGUUCUUAAGUCUCGGCCGUGCUUUGUAAGCUCCUAUUCUAUAUAACAAGGAUAAGAACAGUAGUACUAAAAAUUCAGAAAUAAAGCACAACGGCGUAUCCAAUUUCUUUUAAAAUUUAAUUUAAAAGAUAGAAUAAAACUUUAGAAAGGGUAAUGGUGUCCACGGUACUAAACAUAUUCUGAAAUCUUUGUGGCAAUAAUACAUAUAAUAUAAUAUAGAAUAGUUAAAAGAAUAAAUUUAAUUGAGACUGAGAAUUAUUGCAUGAACUUAAAUUAAUAUUUUAUAAUGAAAAGUCACUCACAAAGCAGUAUAGUUUCAGGUAUUCCAAAGUAAAGGUCUAUCUCUCGUUUAACUUCUUUAUUCUUUCUUGGAACGGUUCUAAUAUAAUAUGGUUGAACGAAUUAUUAUACAACAACUAGAUACUCUCUCCAAGGUCGUGAAAUUCAAUUUUGUAUUUAAGUUCCUCUUCAUCCAUAUAUAUAUAUAUAUAUAUAUAUAUAUAUAUAUUGAGAAUAAUUUUCUUGAAAGAAAAAAAUAAUUUAUUAUGUUUAUUUUGAGUCUUACAAUCAACAUACCACCAAAUCACAAUUCAUACAUUUCAGUUCAUAAAAACCAGAUACACCAAACAAGUAAUUACAAUUCAAAUAUUUCAUCAGCUCCAAUCUCAAAAAAAAAAAAAGAAAUAUACAUACAUAUAUAUAUAUAUAUAUAUAUAUAUAUAUAUUAUAAAAUAAAAUCACACAAAAUAAUUAGCUCUCUUUAUCUGUGAGUUGCAAAGAAUAGUUUACCCAAGACACUCUAAUAACGACCCACACGGCAGUACGCUUAUAGACCCUACAAAUCACCAUAUAGGUGAUAGAAUAUAGCUCUUAGAGCUAGAAGAUACCAAAAAUGAAAAGAAAAACACGCAAGGCACAUGCAGCCAAUAAAAUUGAAAAUCCUAGGUCCCAGACAGUGAAAGAGAAAGGGAAAAAGGCUUACCGGAUACAAACAGGACAAUUGUUCGGUUCAAAGGAUAGCUCUUGGUGCAUGGAACGUUGGAGUACCUUCAUAUUACAACUUAAACAAUUCAGUGAGUGGUUUUCUUAGAGAGAAGACAAAGCAAAUUUCUUAGGAAGAAGAAACUCUGUCUAGAGAGAGAAAGGAAAGAGAAAAAAAAAUAAGAAAUCUGAUUCUGAUUUUUUUUUGGAAGACCCCUUCCUAAAGACAUGGUCCUUUGCUGGUG
rnacentral:lncRNA from 1 species